UACGUAGGGCGCAAGCGUUGUCCGGAAUUAUUGGGCGUAAAGAGCUCGUAGGCGGUUUGUCGCGUCUGCUGUGAAAACUCAGGGCUUAACCCCAGUCCUGCUUCCGAUACGGGUGGACUAGAGGUAGGCAGGGGAGAACGGAAUUCCUGGUGUAGCGGUGAAAUGCGCAGAUAUCAGGAGGAACACCGAUGGCGAAGGCAGGUCUCUGGGCCAUUACUGACAUGAGAAGCGAAAGCAUGGGGAGCGAACAGGA
rnacentral:rRNA from 1 species